rnacentral:rRNA from 1 species
AUUGAACGCUGGCGGCAUGCUUUACACAUGCAAGUCGAACGGUAACAGGCCUUCGGGUGCUGACGAGUGGCGAACGGGUGAGUAAUGCAUCGGAACGUACCCAGAGGUGGGGGAUAACGCAGCGAAAGCUGUGCUAAUACCGCAUGUGAUCUGAGGAUGAAAGCGGGGGACCGAGCAGCAAUGUUUGGCCUCGCGCCUUUGGAGCGGCCGAUGUCGGAUUAGCUAGUUGGUGGGGUAAAGGCCUACCAAGGCGACGAUCCGUAGCUGGUCUGAGAGGACGACCAGCCACACUGGGACUGAGACACGGCACAGACUACUACGGGAGGCAGCAGUGGGGAAUUUUGGACAAUGGGCGCAAGCCUGAUCCAGCAAUGCCGCGUGCGGGAAGAAGGCCUUCGGGUUGUAAACCGCUUUUGGCAGGAACGAAACGGUGUCCGCUAAUACCGGGCGCUAAUGACGGUACCUGCAGAAUAAGCACCGGCUAACUACGUG